rnacentral:tRNA from 1 species
GCCUGCUUAGCUCAAUUGGUAGAGCAGCGGUUUUGUAAACCGCAGGUUAACGGUUCAAGUCCGUUAGCAGGCC